UGUCCUUAUAAGAUAUGAGAACACCACACGAAGACAGAUGGCUACAUGACAACAGAAGAAAUAAUUGGAGUGAUUUAUCUAUAAGGAGAGGAAGACCAAGGACUUCCAGCCACUAUCGGAAGGUACUCAUCAUCUCUGCACAAGCCUUUGCAUCUUGAAAAUCCACCAGUUUUAUAGCACUCUGAAAAAAUUCCUUGUUGCCAUGGAGAUACUGUUCUUUCACAGUGAAUCCUUCUUGAAGUGAGGAAUCUGAGGCCCAGAGAGAUUAAGAAGCUUCACAAGUGACAUGACUUGUGCCAAAUCACAAGGUCAUUUAGUUGCAGAACUGGGACAGGAAUUCAUGCCCAGUUCUCUUUUCAAAACCCUGUGAAAAAAAGAAGUACAUUCAAUUUAGCCUUUGAUUCGUCAUUGGCAUUAUCAGAGGACUCCUACAUCAGAUUACCAAUGCACUUUGUCAUAAAUAUUUCAGAAUGCCUAUGAGAAAAAGAAUAAAGCUAAAUCAAGUCCAGAACACAGAGACAAAUUACUGCUGCAUUGACAGAGUUCUCAACAUUCAUCAAAUUAUACAAUAGUCAGAGGAGUUUCCUGUGGAUAUAAGGUCCAUUUGAAUCCUUAAGAAAAAGAGUGGAUAUUGAAGAAAUAUGUUCUUUAUUCUGAGCAGAAAGGCCAGCAAAAAAGAUAAUGGAUUUGCCAAAAUAUAUCAGGACAAUACUAUUAGCCAUAGGUAAUUUGAUGAUAAAAAUUGCUGUUACCUUUAUGUGCUUUUGAAACUCUACAUGAUUUUCUUUG